UACGUAGGGGCUAGCGUUAUCCGGAAUUACUGGGCGUAAAGGGUGCGUAGGUGGUUUCUUAAGUCAGAGGUGAAAGGCUACGGCUCAACCGUAGUAAGCCUUUGAAACUGAGAAACUUGAGUGCAGGAGAGGAGAGUAGAAUUCCUAGUGUAGCGGUGAAAUGCGUAGAUAUUAGGAGGAAUACCAGUUGCGAAGGCGGCUCUCUGGACUGUAACUGACACUGAGGCACGAAAGCGUGGGGAGCAAACAGGAUUAGAUAUCCGCGUAGUCCCUGA
rnacentral:rRNA from 1 species